UACAGAGGGCUCAAGCGUUGUUCGGAAUCAUUGGGCGUAAAGGGUGUGUAGGUGGCGCCGUAAGUCGGGGGUGAAAUUUCGGAGCUUAACUCCGAAACUGCAUUCGAUACUGCGGUGCUUGAGGUCUGGAGAGGAGACUGGAAUUCAUGGUGUAGCAGUGAAAUGCGUAGAGAUCAUGAGGAAGACCAGUGGCGAAGGCGGGUCUCUGGACAGUUCCUGACACUGAGACACGAAGGCCAGGGGAGCAAACGGG
rnacentral:rRNA from 1 species